rnacentral:lncRNA from 1 species
UGCUGAUGUGAGCUCUCUGUUUCGGGUUCUUAGUGGGUACAGCGACGACCCACAUCUGAGCGUUGUGAGUGAUUCUAGUGGUAAGAAAUCAACGGCUCUGAUUACAAGAGACUUGCUUAAUGGUAGUGGGUCAUCUUCUUCCAAGCUUCCCAACAACUCCCAAGAACUGGAGCUCGACUUACAGGUCCCCAAUUGUUGGAAAUGUGCCCUAAAACCAAUCAUAUGAUGAUACUUUACGGACAUUUCACAUGUUAAACUAAUCUAGUUUAAUAUCAAGGGCAAAGAUUAUUGUUUGAGUCGUCUCAUAUAAAUGUUAUAUGCUUAAACGAUAAGUCCAAGGAAUAUGUGAUUGGGAGAAUGCAAUCUAAAGAAGUUAGAUUCAUGAGACCAUUCUUUCGUAGACACAUCCUAAACGUUCCUGAUCAUAAGAUUGCCAAUUGGGCAUUGACAGUCCGUUAAGAUCAGUACGUGCUGUGUCUUCUCUCAGGGAGAGUGACUAGUCUCGAGUCAUUGAUGUGUGUGACAUCAAGACAAGUACGUAGGUGCUCAAUAGAGAAUGAGUCCACUGAACACGAUCAACGAAGAGUUCUCAUAUUCAUGUCACAUGAGAACUCAUGGUUGGGAUAAUGCAAAGU